rnacentral:snRNA from 1 species
CCCUCUAUCCGGUAGGGGAGAUACCAUGGUCACAAAGGUGGUUUUCCCAGAGCGAGGCUUAUCCAUUGCACUCCAGAUGUGCUUACCCCUGCAAUUUCCCCAAAUGUGGAAAACUCAACUGCAAAAUUUGUGGUAGUGGGAGACUACAAACCUA